GGUCCCUACGGGAGGCAGCAGUGAGGAAUAUUGGUCAAUGGGCGCGAGCCUGAACCAGCCAAGUCGCGUGAGGGAAGACGGUCCUAUGGAUUGUAAACCUCUUUUGUCGGGGAGCAAAAGACGCCACGCGUGGCGUUCUGAGAGUACCCGAAGAAAAAGCAUCGGCUAACUCCGUGCCAGCAGCCGCGGUAAUACGGAGGAUGCGAGCGUUAUCCGGAUUUAUUGGGUUUAAAGGGUGCGUAGGCGGAAUAUCAAGUCAGCGGUAAAAAUUCGGGGCUCAACCCAGUCGUGCCGUUACAAC
rnacentral:rRNA from 1 species